rnacentral:rRNA from 1 species
AUUGAACGCUGGCGGCAUGCCUUACACAUGCAAGUCGAACGGCAGCACGGGAGCAAUCCUGGUGGCGAGUGGCGAACGGGUGAGUAAUAUAUCGGAACGUGCCCAGUCGUGGGGAUAACGUAGCGAAAGCUACGCUAAUACCGCAUACGAUCUAUGGAUGAAAGCGGGGGAUCGCAAGACCUCGCGCGAUUGGAGCGGCCGAUAUCAGAUUAGGUAGUUGGUGAGGUAAAGGCUCACCAAGCCGACGAUCUGUAGCUGGUCUGAGAGGACGACCAGCCACACUGGGACUGAGACACGGCCCAGACUCCUACGGGAGCAGCAGUGGGAAUUUGGACAAGUGGGCGCAAGCCUGAUCCAGCAAUGCCGCGUGCAGGAUGAAGG